rnacentral:rRNA from 1 species
GGGGGACCUUCGGGCCUCUUGCCAUCGGAUGUGCCCAGAUGGGAUUAGCUAGUAGGUGGGGUAACGGCUCACCUAGGCGACGAUCCCUAGCUGGUCUGAGAGGAUGACCAGCCACACUGGAACUGAGACACGGUCCAGACUCCUACGGGAGGCAGCAGUGGGGAAUAUUGCACAAUGGGCGCAAGCCUGAUGCAGCCAUGCCGCGUGUAUGAAGAAGGCCUUCGGGUUGUAAAGUACUUUCAGCGGGGAGGAAGGGAGUAAAGUUAAUACCUUUGCUCAUUGACGUUACCCGCAGAAGAAGCACCGGCUAACUCCGUGCCAGCAGCCGCGGUAAUACGGAGGGUGCAAGCGUUAAUCGGAAUUACUGGGCGUAAAGCGCACGCAGGCGGUUUGUUAAGUCAGAUGUGAAUCCCCCGGGCUA